CAGCCGCCACGGUAAUACAGAGGGUGCAAGCGUUAAUCGGAAUUACUGGGCGUAAAGCGCGCGUAGGUGGUUUGUUAAGUUGGAUGUGAAAUCCCCGGGCUCAACCUGGGAACUGCAUUCAAAACUGACUGACUAGAGUAUGGUAGAGGGUGGUGGAAUUUCCUGUGUAGCGGUGAAAUGCGUAGAUAUAGGAAGGAACACCAGUGGCGAAGGCGACCACCUGGACUAAUACUGACACUGAGGUGCGAAAGCGUGUGGAGCAAACAGGAUUAGAUACCCCGGUAGUCCCUGUCUCUUAUAC
rnacentral:rRNA from 1 species